GAUGAAGAACGCAGCGAAAUGCGAUAAGUAAUGUGAAUUGCAGAAUUCAGUGAAUCAUCGAAUCUUUGAACGCACCUUGCACCCUUUGGCAUUCCGAAGGGUAUACUCGUUUGAGUGUCAUUGUACUCUCACACUCCCAAUUGCUUUGGAUUGGGAGCGGUGGACUUGGGUGUUGCUGCUUGACUGAGGCUCACCUGAAAUAUGUUAGUGCACCUCUUGAUUGGACAUAGUACGGCGUGAUAAGUGUCUUCGCCGGCUCCUCGCAAAGAGGGUGGCCGAUCGGGAGCUCUGUUGCUUCAAACUGUCUUCGGACAAUCUUCUGGCGACUUGACCUCAAAUCGAGUAGGACUACCCGCUGAACUUAAGCAUAUCAAUAAGCGGAGGA
rnacentral:misc_RNA from 1 species